CUGUAAGAUGCAAGUCACUACCCCAGAGCAGCCAGGAGUGGCCUGUGUAGUUUCAACCUUCACUGAGACCUUAACUCUACUUUGUUAAACUCCCAAUCGGCAGAAACACACACUCAUCUCCUCGUAGGAGUUACCGAGCACCUCACAUGUACCUCUACUAGGCACUUAAGCCGUGAGUUUGACUCCCUUGUUGGACUUUGAGCCCCUGAUGACCAUGAUGACUCUUCACUCAUCUGUGUAUUCUAGUCCUCUGCCAGAGAGCUGGACUUACAGUAGACUCUCAAAAAUUUGUUUAUUGAUCCUUGCCUCAUUCCACAAAAUAUUUGAGGCAGAUAAUAAAUAAAUAUUUGUUGAAUUGUG